UUCUAUGGUAGGGCAGGAGGGGGACGUCUUUGACGUGCUGGUUCCUUGGAUCCCAGUCUGCUAACCCUCUUUUGCUCUGCCACCAUU
rfam:Acinetobacter sp. RIFCSPHIGHO2_12_41_5 rifcsphigho2_12_sub10_scaffold_21618, whole genome shotgun sequence.